rnacentral:rRNA from 1 species
GACGAACGCUGGCGGCGUGCUUAACACAUGCAAGUCGAACGGAAAGGCGCUGCUUUUGUGGGUUGCUCGAGUGGCGAACGGGUGAGUAACACGUGAGUAACCUGCCCUUGACUUUGGGAUAACUUCAGGAAACUGGGGAUAAUACCGGAUAGGAGCUCCUGCUGCAUGGUGGGGGUUGGAAAGUUUCGGCGGUGGGGGAUGGACUCGCGGCUUAUCAGCUUGUUGGUGGGGUGGUGGCUGACCAAGGCUUUGACGGGUAGCCGGCCUGAGAGGGUGACCGGCCACCUUGGGCCUGCGAUACGGCCCAGACUCCUCCGGGAGGCAGCAGUGGGGAAUAUUACUCAACGGGCGGAGGCCUGCUGCAGCAGCGCCGCGGGCGGGAUGACGGCCUUCGGGUUGUAAACCGCUUUCGCCUGUAACGAAGCGUGAGUGACGGUAAUGGGUAAAGAAGCACCGGCUAACUACGUG